CAGCGCCACGAGUGGCGAUCAUGUUUAUUUGGCCUAAAGCGUCCGUAGCUGGUUAAGUAAAUCUCUUGUGAAAUUGUUUCGCUUAACGAAACAGCGUGCAGGAGAGACUGCUUAGCUAGGGACCGGGAGGAGUCAGAGGUAUGCUGGGGGGAGCGGUAAAAUGCAAUAAUCCUCGGUAGACCACCUGUGGCGAAGGCGUCUGACUAGAACGGGUCCGACAGUGAGGGACGAAGGCUGGGGGAGCAAAACGGAUUAGAGACCCGAGUAGUCC
rnacentral:rRNA from 1 species